UACGUAGGGGGCUGGCGUUGUCCGGAUUUAUUGGGCGUAAAGAGCGUGUAGGCGGCCAGGUAGGUCCGGUGUGAAAACUCGAGGCUUAACCUCGAGAUGUCAUCGGAAACCAUCUGGCUAGAGUCCGGAAGAGGAAAGUGGAAUUCCUGGUGUAGCGGUGAAAUGCGCAGAUAUCAGGAAGAACACCAAUGGCGAAAGCAGCUUUCUGGGACGGUACUGACGCUGAGACGCGAAAGCGUGGGGAGCAAACAGG
rnacentral:rRNA from 1 species